UUAACUAAAUUUCAGUAUGGAGUUGGAUCAUGUCCACUAUGUUUGCCGCUAGGGGCGCUGUUUCAACUCUUUACAAAUUUGAGUUA
rnacentral:pre_miRNA from 1 species